rnacentral:rRNA from 1 species
GCAAUUAUACAGCGAAACUGCGAAUGGCUCAUUAUAUAAGUUAUCGUUUAUUUGAUAGUACCUUACUACUUGGAUAACCGUGGUAAUUCUAGAGCUAAUACAUGCUGAAAAUCCCGACUUCGGAAGGGAUGUAUUUAUUAGAUUCAAAACCAAUGCCCUCUGGGCUCACUGGUGAUUCAUGAUAACUCCUCGAAUCGCACGGCCUUGCGCCGGCGAUGGUUCAUUCAAAUUUCUUCCCUAUCAACUUUCGAUGUUUGGGUAGUGGCCAAACAUGGUUGCAACGGGUAACGGAGGGUUAGGGCUCGACCCCGGAGAAGGAGCCUGAGAAACGGCUACUACAUCCAAGGAAGGCAGCAGGCGCGCAAAUUACCCAAUCCCGACACGGGGAGGUAGUGACAAUAAAUACUGAUACAGGGCUCUUUUGGGUCUUGUAAUUGGAAUGAGUACAAUUUAAAUCCCUUAACGAGGAACAAUUGGAGGGCAAGUCUGGUGAACGUUGCUGGUGCCAGAGAGAGCCGCCCUCGGUAAACAACCGGCUAGUCGAGCGCCCGCGCAGUGACGGGUGGGCGCCGGCGAGACAACCUGGAUCGGGGAACGCUAAGGGCCCUCCGGGGCCUAUGCCGAUCCCGAGCAGAGCCACGGGGUGGCCUGUGUAGAGCGCGCCAAGGUGUCGGUCCCGCGGACUCGCGUCCCGGGGCUUAAGGUACGUGCCAACCCCCCGCGAAAGCGGGGCCCUGCGGACGAGCACCCGUCGUGCGAAGCCGCAGGGGGGGUGCCCCCAGCCCGGGGGCGCCCCCGCAGGCUUGAGCCCAAGCCGAUUCAGUGGCCAGCAGCCGCGGUAAUUCCAGCUCCAAUAGCGUAUAUUAAAGUUGUUGUGGUUAAAAAGCUCGUAGUUGAACCUUGGGCCUGGCUGGCCGGUCCGCCUCACCGCGUGUACUGGUCCGGCCGGGCCUUUCCCUCUGUGGAACCCCAUGCCCUUCACUGGGCGUGGCGGGGAAACAGGACUUUUACUUUGAAAAAAUUAGAGUGCUCCAGGCAGGCCUAUGCUCGAAUACAUUAGCAUGGAAUAAUGAAAUAGGACGCGCGGUUCUAUUUUGUUGGUUUCUAGGACCGCCGUAAUGAUUAAUAGGGACAGUCGGGGGCAUCAGUAUUCAAUAGUCAGAGGUGAAAUUCUUGGAUCUAUUGAAGACUAACUACUGCGAAAGCAUUUGUCAAGGAUGUUUUCAUUAAUCAGGAACGAAAGUUAGGGGAUCGAAGACGAUCAGAUACCGUCGUAGUCUUAACCAUAAACUAUGCCGACUAGGGAUCGGACGAUGUUAUUUUUUGACUCGUUCGGCACCUUACGAGAAAUCAAAGUGCUUGGGCUCC